UACGUAGGGUGCGAGCGUUAAUCGGAAUUACUGGGCGUAAAGCGUGCGCAGGCGGUUAUUUAAGUCAGGUGUGAAAGCCCUGGGCUUAACCUAGGAAUUGCGCUUGAGACUGGAUAGCUUGGAGUGCGGCAGAGGGAGGUGGAAUUCCACGUGUAGCAGUGAAAUGCGUAGAGAUGUGGAGGAACACCGAUGGCGAAGGCAGCCUCCUGGGCCAGCACUGACGCUCAUGCACGAAAGCGUGGGGAGCGAACAGG
rnacentral:rRNA from 1 species